UGAUGAGUGUGCGUAACGCAUACGAGUGGAAGAUUGUUUAUUUCUCCAGUACCUAGCUGGGUAGGUAGGUAUAUAUCCAUACCUAGGCGGAGGGACAGUCAUGGUUUAUUUAAAAGAAAGUGGGAAAGACGCGAGGCUCUCACGCCAUCCACGGGUUCGCUGUGCCCUCCUCCUUUCCCCUCCGAUUUUGGCGAUUUUCAAGUUCGGAACCUCAGGCACAUUGGACCAGACGACCACAGAUUUGAAUUCUCCGCAAAAAAUUACGCAGGCACUUCAGCCAACUUGCACUCAGCAGCGAAUUUCUCAACAAAAAACUGACCCGGAAGUACGUGUUUCCUCAAAAUUUUCGGAGAAGGUCGUAUUUUGGGUGUAGCUCAAGCUCGUGACACUACCAUUUUCACAAUAACACGCUAGAGGAUACAACUCAUUGGCGAAACCAAGCAAAUCGAGGAUGCUCAUUGGUCACUUCAAGGUCAGAUGGCUGCACAACCGUGCUCUUGCGGGCUGAUAUUGUUUUACUAAUGCGUCUGACGGGCAACGCACAGAGAUUGCAUAGCUAUCAGGCGAUCGAACUGAACGUAUGGCGCAAAAUGCGAAAAAUUACGGACCUUCCGCGAAACUUUCGUACUUUUUAAGUUCUUACGGAAGGACCUAAGGAAAAGCAUACUUUUUCCGGGCUUUAGGGACUGGUAGACACCCUGAUCUACCCUCCAGCCCACCAGUUUAAGCUGACUCCCCCCCCC